rnacentral:lncRNA from 1 species
CCUGAUCUGAGUCUGACAGUGUGUCGUUCAGUUAAGUGCUUCCAUCUGUUGCCUGCUGUUCCCCUUACUCAUGACCCCUCUAUGUUUCUCUCCUCUUUUCCUUUCUCUUUCCCUCUGUUUCUCUUUCCUUUCUUUUGUGUUCUUUUCUUUCUAUUUUCCUAUCACUCUCUUUAUCUCUCUUUCUCUCUUUUUUCCUCUCUCUCUUUUGUCCUUAGCCCCUCUGAGGAAGGCAAAGUUUGUUGAGAGCCCACGAAUUCCAGAAUCCGAGCUUGGCUCACCAACCCUCACUUCAGCUCAGAAACUGGAUGUGGAUGCAUACUGCCCUGCCAUCUGCGUGUGGACUCCAAUUCAUCUGCUCCCAGCAAGAACCCAGAGGGACUCCUGCGGGGCUUCCUUCAUAAGCAAUAAGGAACAUUCCUGUUGUUAUUGUUCAUCAUCAUCAUAAUUAUACUUAUACAUUUCUAAAAUUUCUACAGUGAACUUGUAUUGAAAAUUUUCAGUAAUUAGAUGCCACUAAAAUACAGUAAUAGUCUUUGUAUCUUAGUUCUUACAUUUUUAUGUUGCACAUUAUAAUAAUAUAUAAUUUCCGAGU